ensembl:lincRNA
UUUCUUAUUUUUUUUUAAUACUGUAUAUAUUUUUUCUCAGCUCUCCAGUUCACAUUCACCAAGGCCAGAUGGAGUUUCACUCAACAGGAUCUGAGGUCACCAACACAGUCUGCCACAAGGAAGCAAUGAUACCCAAGAAGGCAUGUUUGAGUGAUUGUACUGAUGCUACAGCUUAACACAGAUGAGGAACGGCUCUACGCUUGUGGAAAAUUACAUCCUCCACGAGCUUCCCCGUCGGACGCCAUUGUCAUGUUUUCUCAGCAGAGUCUGAGAUCCAACAGGGGGCCUUUCUUCCUCCAGACGCCGACUUUCCACUGGCUGAUUGACGAGAAAAGAAGAGAUGACUUGACUCAAUGCAGCGUAGCCAGGGUAAUCUUCCAGAGAUGCUGGCUAGAGGACGGCCCUGAAAGAUCUAGAGAAGCUGAAGAGCGAAAUCCAUUGGGGGCUCUGUGAUGUUAUCCGAGCCCCUCGCAGUGUUUCUUUUGAACUUGUGCUUCUGAAAAAAAGUUGCGAGAGCAGCAGGUCCAGCCAAAGCCGACGCGCACCUACGGUUUUAAUCAUGUGAUGCGUGAGUGGUCUUGUUUGCUUGUUUUGCUUCUCAUUUGAGUGGUCAUUUUCUUAAGCGUUACUCGUCCUAAUGGGUCCGAUUGGAGCUUCUUCGUUUAAAGCGCUGAUUUGUGAGACUGAAAACAGAUUUCGCAGCGCAUCCGGUAUGACAUGAUUAAAGAGACUCUAAAGUUUUAUGCUCUUUGAAGAGUGGCUUUGAAUACCGAGGCUCCUGAGGCCCCUGUGGAGUGGUAUUAUUCACUGGUCUCUGCAAUAAUUGGAUUUCACAGAGUAUUAUUUUUGCAUUGGAUUUAUUAUUCACUCACCAUAACAAACAUGCAGGGAAUUUGCUCGUGGUUGCUUUCAUAUGUGCGGCUGAUUAUUUAUUUCGUUUGAAACGUCAGAUGUCAGUAUACAAAUAAUGCAUUUCAAGCAACGAGGAAGAACAUCUCUGUUACCCGUUUUACGGCCGAUCUGACACAGCAUCAGAUGUGUCAAAGGCACAUCUGAUGCUCAGACCAUAAAAGAGACGACUUUGAGCUGUCAGCACAUACUUCCUUCCUGCGUUACAUGCUUGAACUCCCCAGGUAUGGUUUAGUCUUUGACACUGUUUUACUCCUGCUUCAUAUCCUUCCUCUUGUCCGCCGUGUUCAUUCACCUGGUGAUGAGGCCGUAGAGUUCAAAGGUAUCAUGAAAAGAUUUGAGAGACUUUCAGUGGCGAACCGACAUCAAAGUUUGCCACGACUGAGUGCAACAGUAGCGUUCCAGAAGCAAACAAUGUAAUUAAGUGUAAACCUGCGGAGACGAGCAUAUAGCGUGAGCUUUGAACAAUGGUGUGCUUCUUUGGAAUCUAGAUGUCUGUGUGCGAUUUCAACUUCAUUUUUGAAGAAGUAGUCAGUUUUAGUAGCCCUUUGCCUUCUUCAAAUGGGGAAAUCAAAUAAUCAUUUACUCACCUUGGCUUUGUUCCAAUGGCAUAUGCUCUUUUUUAUGCUUCACAUCACAAAAUUCUGAUGUGAAAAUAUUUGUAUGAUGACACUGAAUAACAGUCUCACAGAAUGGUUGCAUAUGGUAAAAAAUGAAGCUAAAUGUAAUACACAUUAACCAUAUUUAUUACCAAACGUAAUCUUUCUGAGAGUUGUGAUGACA